AAGAAAGUAGAUAAGGGCGUAUGGGGGAUGCCUAGGCUCUCAGAGGCGAUGAAGGACGUGAUAAGCUGCGAUAAGCUACGGGGAUUGGCAAAUACGAGUUGAUCCGUAGAUUUCCGAAUGGGACAACCCGAUACCGUGAAGCGGUAUCAUCCCGAUUUAUCGGGAGGCAAACGUGGGGAACUGAAACAUCUAAGUACCCACAGGAAGAGAAAACAAUAGUGAUUCCGUCAGUAGUGGCGAGCGAACGCGGAACAGCCUAAACCCAUCUAGUUACGGCUAUGUGGGGGUUGUAGGACCUGCAUAAUUUUCUGGCGAUGAACUGGAAGCAUCUGGGAAGGUGCACCGUAGAGGGUGAAAGUCCCGUACGGGUAAGUCAACAGGAAAGGCGGGAAUCCUGAGUAGGGCGGAGCAGGUGAAACUCCGUUUGAAUCAGCCGGCACCAUCCGGUAAGGCUAAAUACUCCUGAGAGACCGAUAGUGAACCAGUACCGUGAGGGAAAGGUGAAAAGUACCCUGAAUAAGGGGGUGAAAUAGAACCUGAAACCAUACGCUUACAAGCGGUCGGAGCAGUUUCGUACUGUGACGGCGUGCCUUUUGCAUAAUGAGCCUACGAGUUACACUUUUCUGGCAAGGUUAAUGAUUUAAGGUCAGGAGCCGGAGCGAAAGCGAGUCUGAACAGGGCGAAUAGUCAGAGGAGGUAGACGCGAAACUUAGUGAUCUACCCAUGGCCAGGUUGAAGUUUUGGUAACACAAAAUGGAGGACCGAACCAGUAUACGUUGAAAAGUAUUUGGAUGAGCUGUGGGUAGGGGUGAAAGGCCAAUCAAACUAAGAAAUAGCUCGUACUCCCCGAAAUGCUUUUAGGAGCAGCGUGGGAUAAAGUCUAAUAGAGGUAGAGCUACCAAUAGGACUAGGGGGAGUCACAUCCUACCAAAUCCUGAUGAACUCCGAAUGCUAUUAGAUGUUUUUCUGCAGUGAGGGCAAGGGUGCUAAGGUCCUUGUCCGAGAGGGAAAGAACCCGGACCGUCGGCUAAGGUCCCCAAAUGUAUGCUAAGUUGAACAAAGGUGGUCCAGUUGCCUAGACAGCCAGGAUGUUGGCUUGGAAGCAGCCAUUCAUUUAAAGAGUGCGUAACAGCUCACUGGUCGAGCGACAGGGCGUCGAUAAUGAUCGGGCAUUAAGCAUACUACCGAAGCCACGGAUCCCGCUUGUCGGGAUGGUAGGGGAGCAUUCCAUUUUCAGUGAAGCCACUUGGUGAUGAGAGGUGGAGGGAAUGGAAAAGCAAAUGUAGGCAUAAGUAACGAUAAGGCAGGCGAGAAACCUGCCCACCGAAAGACUAAGGUUUCCUGAUCAACGCUAAUCGGAUCAGGGUUAGUCGGGACCUAACGCGAACCCGAAAGGGGUAGUGGAUGGACAAUCGGUUAAUAUUCCGAUACUAGCUAAUUAAAGUGAUGGGGCGACGGAGGAGUGAAAGCCUUGCGUACAGACGGAAUUGUACGUUGAAGCCUUUAGGUAUUAAGACAGUAGGCAAAUCCGCUGACUUAGCUGAAGGGCGAUAGUACCACAAUUCUUCGGAAGCGUGGAUAAUAGGCCUAAUCAGACUUCCAAGAAAACCCUCUAAGCGUUAAUUAAUUAGCUACCCGUACCGUAAACCGACACAGGUAGUCGAGGAGAGAAUCCUAAGGUGCUCGAGUGAUUCAUGGCUAAGGAACUAGGCAAAAUGGCCCUGUAACUUCGGGAGAAGGGGCGCCUCCCCCGACAUUGUCGGGGAGGCCGCAGUGAAAAGGCCCAGGCGACUGUUUAACAAAAACACAUGGCUUUGCGAAAUCGAAAGAUGAUGUAUAAGGCCUGACACCUGCCCGGUGCCGGAAGGUUAAGGGGGGAUGUUAUUCUGACUUGUCGGAAGAAGCAUUGAACUGAAGCCCCGGUAAACGGCGGCCGUAACUAUAACGGUCCUAAGGUAGCGAAAUUCCUUGUCGGGUAAGUUCCGACCUGCACGAAUGGUGCAACGAUCUGGGCACUGUCUCGGCCAUGAGCUCGGUGAAAUUGUAGUCGCGGUGAAGAUGCCGCGUACCCGCAACGGGACGGAAAGACCCCAUGAACCUUUACUAUAGCUUAACAUUGGUAUUGGGUAAAUGAUGUGUAGGAUAGGUGGGAGACUAUGAAUAGGCGUCGCCAGGCGUUUAGGAGUCGUUGUUGAAAUACCACCCUUUAUUUAUCUGGUGCCUAACCCCGCUUGAUCGGGGGACAGUGUUUGGUGGGUAGUUUGACUGGGGUGGUCGCCUCCAAAAGAGUAACGGAGGCUUUCAAAGGUACCCUCCGCACGAUUGGUAACCGUGCACAGAGCGCAAUAGCACAAGGGUGCUUGACUGUGAGGCCUACAAGCCGAUCAGGUAGGAAACUAGGAUAUAGUGAUCCGGUGGUUCCGCAUGGAAGGGCCAUCGCUCAAAGGAUAAAAGGUACUCUGGGGAUAACAGGCUGAUCUCCCCCAAGAGCUCAUAUCGACGGGGAGGUUUGGCACCUCGAUGUCGGCUCGUCACAUCCUGGGGCUGGAGAAGGUCCCAAGGGUUGGGCUGUUCGCCCAUUAAAGUGGCACGCGAGCUGGGUUCAGAACGUCGUGAGACAGUUCGGUCCCUAUCUGUUGUGGGCGCAAGAAAUUUGCGAGGAUCUGACCUUAGUACGAGAGGACCGGGUUGGACAAACCGCUGGUGUAUCGGUUGUGCCGCCAGGUGCAUCGCCGAGUAGCUAUGUUUGGCAGGGAUAAGCGCUGAAAGCAUCUAAGUGCGAAACCCACCUCAAGAUGAGAUUUCUUUAAAGGGACGUUAAAGACGAUGACGUAGAUAGGUUGCAGGUGUAAAGUCAGAGAUGGCAAAGCCGAGCAAUACUAAUUACCCGUAGGCUUUCUUAG
rnacentral:rRNA from 1 species